rnacentral:rRNA from 1 species
CUACGGGUUGCAGCAGUGAGGAAUAUUGCACAAUGGAGGAAACUCUGAUGCAGCAACGCCGCGUGGAGGAUGACGCAUUUCGGUGUGUAAACUCCUUUUAUAUGUCAAGAAAAUGACGGUAGCAUAUGAAUAAGCUCCGGCUAACUCCGUGCCAGCAGCCGCGGUAAUACGGAGGGAGCAAGCGUUACUCGGAAUCACUGGGCGUAAAGGACGCGUAGGCGGGAUAGAAAGUCAGGUGUGAAAUCCUAUGGCUCAACCAUAGAACUGCACUUGAAACUUCUAACCUAGAGUAUGGGAGGGGAAGAUGGAAUUAGUGGUGUAGGGGUAACAUCCGUAGAUAUCACUAGGAAUACCAAAAGCGAAGGCGAUCUUCUGGAACAAUACUGACGCUAAGGCGUGAAAGCGUGGGGAGCAAACAGGAUUAGAUACCCGGGUAGUC